rnacentral:piRNA from 1 species
UGGUGUUUCAGUCCUUCUCAGCUGGUC